AAGACUAUACUUUCAGGGAUCAUUUCUAUAGUUUCNGACUUGAGAAAUGUGUUUCUAAAGUGUAUGGUCUCGCCAACCACGAUGAUGAGGUUGUGAUACUCUUUCCUGAGCGUGAAGUGAGCAGAGAGACUUGAUUUAUAUCAUAUGCUUUCUGCUUUUGAUGACCGUUCACUGUCUCCUCUGGGGACUCUGAGGGAAAGAGUAUGAUCAGAGUGGUA
ensembl:snoRNA